UGGGGAAUCUUCCGCAAUGGGCGCAAGCCUGACGGAGCAACGCCGCGUGAGUGAAGAAGGGUUUCGACUCGUAAAGCUCUGUUGUCGGGGACGAAUGUGGAGAUGGUGAAUAACCAUUUUCAAUGACGGUACCUGACGAGGAAGCCACGGCUAACUACGUGCCAGCAGCCGCGGUAAUACGUAGGUGGCGAGCGUUGUCCGGAAUUAUUGGGCGUAAAGGGAGCGCAGGCGGGAAGGUAAGUCUAUCUUAAAAGUGCGGGGCUCAACCCCGUGAGGGGAUGGAAACUAUCUUUCUUGAGUGCAGGAGAGGAAAGCGGAAUUCCUAGUGUAGCGGUGAAAUGCGUAGAUAUUAGGAGGAACACCAGUGGCGAAGGCGGCUUUCUGGACUGUAACUGACGCUGAGGCUCGAAAGCGUGGGGAGCGAACA
rnacentral:rRNA from 1 species